rnacentral:lncRNA from 1 species
AUGAAUCUCAUUUUGCAUUACUUUGUGCCACCGGUGAUCUUUCAUUGCUUCCUUGAAAGUCACAGGUUCAGUUUCCUGUGCAAGAGCUGCAAGAAACACACGAUGUGCCAAAGAGAAGUUAUGACAAGUCACAUAUCGUUUGACGUGAUAAGGGGUACCUGAGGAUGAAGACCGUGAAGGAACACGAGCAGAUGGGCUUAACAUGUGAAUUGUGUUGGUGACGUAGUCCAGUAAUUGGAAGGAAAUCCUUUUAAUUUGC